GGGGUAAAAUUGCUUCUUUGCAAUAAGCAUCUCUCUUUAUAAGAGUUACCUUU
rnacentral:tRNA from 1 species